GGACUGUAAAAAAAAGCCUCGAACGCACAACAAAUGUGAUAAUGUGAGAUUUCAAACCGUUUAAAACCAUGACUAGAGAGAGGCUCAACGAAUAGAGCAAGAUCUGUUGUUUUUAUGAGAUGACAAAUCAGAGCAAGACUACUGAAUGUAAGGUAAGAGGUGGGCAGACUUCCAGAGCAAAGUGAAUAGUAGUUAUUGGUCUGCCUUGAAGAUGAACUGGAAAGUGUGGACCCCCUUCCAGUUCAUCAACAUCAACUAUGUGGCUUUAGAGUUUCGAGUGCUGUUUGCCAACAUGGUGGCCUUAUUUUGGUAUGCUUACCUUGCGUCUGCGAGGAAGUGAAGACUCCCAAGAUCUUCUCCCUGAUUACUGAAGUAAGAAGGCACAGGGUGUGCCUCUGAAGCUGCAGAACGUUACAAGGACAGGCCUGUGAAUACCAGUGCAGCAAGAUGGUACAAUCAGGCAAAUUACCUGGGGUGGUGUGUAGGACGUCAGUCACACAAUAUACAAGGUACUGCACUACUACACUAAUGUCUUAGGUCUCUCUUUAUGUGGUGUUGUGGUGUAUCUCUUGUCGUGAUGUGUGUUUUGUUCUAUAUAUAUAUAUAUAUUGAUUAUAUUUUUUUGAAACCCCUGUCCCCGCAUGAGGCCUUUUGCCUUCUUGUCAUUGUAAAUAAGAAUUUGUUAUUAACUGACUUGUCUAAAUUAAAUAAAGGCCAAAUGAAAAAAUAUAAAUAAAUGAAAUCCUAAUACAUCCAAUGUGUUGCUCACAUGCAAAAUAACUUAUAUCUGAAAUGUUCAAUCUUAAUUGUUACUUCUUGAAUAAAUUGAAAUACUUGAGUAUUCUCCUUUGAGCCACGGUGUAUUUUGGUUUUAACAAUAGUAAAUACAUGUUAUAUAUUCUUGUUUGAUUAAAAAAAUGUUUUGUAUAAUUUAAGUUGAAGCAAAGCAAAUGUGCUGUAGGAAAUAAAUAACAGUAACUGUUUCAAUCUUGAAGCCAACUCAUUUAACACCAUAUGAAUAUGCAAUGUUAAGAUUGUUAUCAAACCACAAUGUAUUGUGUAUAUUGCUGACAAGGCCGACCUGUAGUUUCCUUAUGUGGACUGCAUUGUUUUAGUUUGAGUCUCAACUCAACUGUAAAUGUGACUGCUGUCAAUAUCAGGUCAAAUAAGGGAGCAACAGCACAUCGGACUGAAACUGCCAAAUCAUUUUACAUCCUGAUGUACAGUAUUUGUUUUAACCCUAUUUUAUAAAUGAAAACAAGAACCA